UCCGUGCAGCAGGUGUGUUUCCUAGUAGUUUGUUCCUCCUACAUAAUUCGUCAACAAAGCCAACAUACCCAAGAGGAAUAUGCUUUGUCUGCGGUUCUUGCCUCGACCUGGAUUUGGAGAAAAUGACCCAUUGUUAGACAGAUCUGCAGGAGUGCAGAGAUGAGGGAUGUCAAAGCAAUGGAAUUGAAUACCCGGCGGCUGGAAUACUGAGCUCUUGUGUCCCGGA